GUUGAGGUGGCAGAGCAUGGCUUCAUUGCAAAAGACUUAAGCUCUUUUCACAGAGGUUCAAAUCCUCUCCUCCACU
rnacentral:tRNA from 4 species